CCCUGUGGUCUUAUUGUAGGUGAGCACCAAUGGGAUCAUCUCCACCCAGGACUUACCCAGGGAGACUUAAUAUGUCGUUGAUGAUUUUCCUACUGACUUCCCAGCCAUCGCCCCAUUCCUGGCUGACAUCCACUCGAGUCACAGCAGUGGCCGGAUCCUGUAUGGAGGACACCUCCUGGGCUGUGCUGAGUCUGGCUGCUUGCUACCUGUGCACAGGCUUCCCCCCUACCCACUUCUUCCUGGCCACCUGGGAGCAAGUGGGCGCCUAGGAGGAGGACAGGCUUGGUUGGGGCUGAGUGGCCUGGAGAGCUGAACACUUUCCAGGCCGUUCUGGCAUCCGAUGAAUGUGAUUCCUAUGCCCUCUUUCUCUAUCCUGCCAAUGGUCUUCAGUUUUUGGAACUCACCCCAAAGAAUCCUACAGUGUCCAGCUGCAGCUUCCUGCUAAGGUGGGAUUCUGCCAAGGGGAAGCAGAUGACGUGAAGAGAAAAGCCCUGUAUUUCAGCCUGACUAACAGUGAGCAUGGAUGUUGGCACCACGUCUCCAGAGUCUGAUCACGCUUCUCCU
ensembl:lncRNA